rnacentral:rRNA from 1 species
GAAAACCAGGCUAAUACCGCAUGAGCCCUUCGGGGGAAAGCAGGGGAUCUUCGGACCUUGCGCUAUUGGAUGAGCCUAAGUCGGAUUAGCUUGUUGGUGGGGUAACGGCCUACCAAGGCGACGAUCCGUAGCUGGUCUGAGAGGAUGAUCAGCCACACUGGGACUGAGACACGGCCCAGACUCCUACGGGAGGCAGCAGUGGGGAAUAUUGGACAAUGGGCGAAAGCCUGAUCCAGCAAUGCCGCGUGUGUGAAGAAGGCCUGCGGGUUGUAAAGCACUUUCAGUAGCGAGGAAAAGCUCAAGGUUAAUAACCUUGAGUCUUGACGUUAACUACAGAAGAAGCACCGGCUAACUCUGUGCCAGCAGCCGCGGUAAUACAGAGGGUGCGAGCGUUAAUCGGAAUUACUGGGCGUAAAGCGCGCGUAGGCGGUUUGUUAAGUCGGAUGUGAAAGCCCUGGGCUCAACCUGGGAACUGCAUUCGAAACUGGCAGGCUAGAGUAUGGUAGAGGGAAGUGGAAUUCCGGGUGUAGCGGUGAAAUGCGUAGAUAUCC